rnacentral:rRNA from 1 species
GAAUCCCGUCUUUGACACGGACUGCCUGCAUGUUAUGGUGCGCUCUCAAAGAGUCGAGUUGUUUGGGAAUGCAGCUCAAAAUGGGUGGUAAAUGCCAUCUAAAGCUAAAUAUCGGCGAGAGACCGAUAGCGAACAAGUACCGUGAGGGAAAGAUGAAAAGAACUUUGGAAAGAGAGUGAAACAGUACGUGAAAUUGUUGAAAGGGAAACGCUUGAAGUCAGUCGCGUCGACCGAGACUCAGCCUUGCCCUUGGCUUGGUGUACUUCUCGGCUGACGGGUCAGCAUCAAUUUUGCCCCUUGGAUAAUGGCGAGGGAAAUGUGACACCUUUACGGUGUGUUAUAGUCUCUUGUCGCAUGCAAGGGUUGGGAUUGAGGAACUCAGCACGCACCUUUGGGUGUCGGGGCUUUGCCCACGAUACGUGCUUAGGAUGUUGGCGUAAUGGCUUUAAACGACCCGUCUUGAAACACGGACCAAGGAGUCUAACAUGCCUGCGAGUGUUCGGGUGGAAAACUCGUGCGCGCAAUGAAAGUGAAAGUUGGGACCUCUGUCGUGGAGGGCACCGACGCCCGGACCAGACCUUCUGUGACGGCUCUGCGGUAAAGCAUGUAUGUUAGGACCCGAAAGAUGGUGAACUAUGCCUGAAUAGGGUGAAGCCAGAGGAAACUCUGGUGGAGGCUCGUAGCGAUUCUGACGUGCAAAUCGAUCGUCAAAUUUGGGUAUAGGGGCGAAAGACUAAUCGAACCAUCUAGUAG